ensembl:lncRNA
AAAAGAUAGGCCAAAGUUAUGGUCCUGUUUACCUGAGGUGCUCACUGAGUUACCCAUAUUAAAAGCUCGUUAUCCUCACUUGAUUAAUAAUAGCUUCCAGGAACUGUCUUAGGAGAAAUUCAGAAUCUGAUUGUUAGUUCACUGGGAAAAAGUGCCACAGUCAAUUAAUAAUGUCUGCCUUGAGCAUGGGAAAAAAGUGGAAGUAACUUAUGUGCCAUAUAUUUGUAUGGAUUAUUUUUAUUGAUACUUAAAGGGGUUCUUUUACUUGAAACUUUAUGAAGAGUACAAGGAUCACCUGGGAAUGUCUGAACCUACUCUAUUGAAAGCGCACUAAUAUAUAACUAAUCAGACAAGAGACAAUAAAAAUAUACGCAGACCACGUGGAAAAUAAAAACCAAUUCUAGACAUUGGCAGUGGAUAAAUCUCAGACCUUGGCAGAUCCUAUGUGAAAAUCCCACAAUGGCAGUUCAUGGAACAGUAAGACCAUACUGGACGCUUGAGCGCAUGGUUGGCUAGGACCAUCCACCUACCAACUGACUUCUCUUGCACGUCAGUGAUCAUGACGUAAAUCUGGGCUUCUGAAAACUCAAAAUCUGCCUCAGGUUAUGAAACUUCAAGGUCACUCUCUGUGGUAGGUAGAACAACAUCUAAGAUGCUCACACCCUCAUCCCUGUGAACCGAUGAACAUGUAUGUUACAUGACAAAAACCACCCCCAACACUGCAGACUUUAAAGUUCUGAAACCUAAAGGUGGGAGUUUAUCUGGAUCAUCCAGGUAGGCGCAGUCUAACAUGGAGAAGCAAAAGAUCCAGUAUAUUCAACACAAUAUAGAAGAAGAAAAAAUUUGGAGGACUGGAAUAACCUGACUUCUACACUAUAAAGAUAUAAUAAUCAAGACAGUGUGGUAUUGGUGAAAGAACAGACAGAUAGACCAGUAGAACAUAAAUAGACUCACGUAAACGUAUUCAACUGAUCUUUGCCAAAGGAGCAAAGGCAAUACAAUGGAGCAGAGAGAGGUUUUCAAUCAGUGAUGCUGGGACAACUAAACAUGACCCUCAAUAUGCUGAUACCUUUUUGGAUCUAACACCAAAAGCAAGAUUCAUGAAAGAAAUACUUGAUAAACUGAGCUUAACUGAAAUUAAAACCGUUUCUGUGAAAGAUAACGUCAGGAGAAAGCGAAGACAAGCCACAGCUGGGAGAAAAACAUUUGCAAAACACACAUCUGAUGAAGGACUGUUAUCCCAGAAUGUACAAAGAACGGUUAAAACUUAGGAAGAAAACAACCUGAUCAAAAGAUAGACUGAAGAUCUCGACACCUCAUCAAAGAUAUACAGACGGCAAAAAGAAUAUGAAGAGAUACUCUGCCUCAUAGGUCAUCAGGGAAAUGCAAAUGACAUCAACAAGGAGAUACCACUGCACAGCUCUUAGAACAGCCGAAAUCGGGAACCGACAACACCAAAUGCCAGCGAGGAUGCAGAGCAACAGGAACUCUCAUUCAUUGCUGGUGGGAAUGCAAGAUGGCACAGCCUCCUUGGACGACAACUUGGCUGUUUCCUACAAAACUAAACAUGCAUUCACCCACAGUUGUUUUUAAGUGUCAGCCUUCACCAGUUGUUUUUUCCAUAAGAUGAUCCCCGAGGCAGGAGGGUCUUUUUUUGCUUUCUGUCUCUCUGACUUUGCGCCAUGAUGGGGAAGGGAAGGGACUGUGAAUAUAAAAAACUCCCUUUAACUCCGCACUGCCCUCUCCUGCUGCUGUGGCUGUGAAGAGAACAGUUUCCUGGCUGGUAAGACACGAAAUGGCACCCAACACUGCAGAGAAGUCACUGCUUCUGUGACAAUCCCUCUGUCACAGCUCUCCUUCUCCAUCCUCUCCUGCUCCUGAUGCCCUGCUGGGCUGUUUGUAUUUAAUCCCAUGUACUUUCAAUGGCAGUCUGCCAUCGUGCCAGGAAACCAGGUUGUCUGAUUCUCCCUUCCCUGAGUUUAAUUAUUUAAUAGAUCGAGCAGGUUCAUUGUCUUCUACAGAAUUUCUCACUGUCAGCACUAAUGGCACUGUUUGGGCUGAGUAAUUGUUUGCUGUGUAAUUUGUACAUGUGGGGGUGUGUCCUGGGCAUUGUGGGAGGUUUUGCAGCAUCCUUGACUGUUUGCUAGAUGUCAAUAGCAGUCCUGAGUUGUGACAAUUAAAAGUAUCCCAACAUUACCAAAUAUCCCCCCCUGGGGGACAAAAUCCCCCUCCCCCAAGGUGAGAACCAUUGGCCUGAGGUUAAGGUACCAGUCUGAUGGGCUUGUUUCACUCACCUGUGAGCCAUUCCCUCUUCAAGGGAGCCGCUUAGAGCAAAGCACAUUGCAGCCUAGGUCAAUUUCACGAUGAAGGCAAAAAUUUAUGCUUUUUAAACAGGAAGUCCUCCAUAUAGUCAGCAGACUGAGACCCGGCAAAGUCUCCUCUCCAGCUUUGAACAGCCUAAUUAAACCAGCAGAUUCAGCACAUUCUGUCAUUGGUAGCGAUCACUUCCAGCUCUUUCGCACUCCCAGCUGAAAAGAACGUGAGGAAACCCAUCCUUAUCCUGCCCACAGGUCUGAGUUCUGACAGGUGUGACAGGACAUCUUCUGGGCCACAGUUUCCCAAAGUAUGCUCCUCCCAUUUCAUUUUAGGUGGUGAAAUGUAAACCUUUACAUUUCAUUAGCAAUGUGUUCACCUUAAUAACACGUGUUGUGUGUCAGGGUGGGGGUCGGGGCACCACAAGGGCACCAAACUCACAGUACAAGUCUUCUUUAGAAGACAUGUAUGUACGUACAGAAAGUGAGCUGGUUUAAUGAGCGUAACAGGACGGAGUAUAUGCACAUGUGUACAGUUUCCUGCUGAUGCUGUAAGAAACUAUCACAAACUUAGUGACGAGAGACAACACAGAUUUACUACCUUGCAAUUCUGGAGGUUACAAGUCCGAAAUGGGUCUUGUGGGCUGAAGUCAAGUUACUGGCAGAGAUGUGUUCCUUCUGGAAGCUCUGGGCAGUCUCCUAGACUUUUCCAGCUUCCAGAGGCUGCUCACAUUUCCCGCCACAUGGCCCCUUCCUGCAUUGUUCUAACCUCUCCUUCUGGCACUGCAUCUCCUUUGACCUUCUUGUCUCUCUCUUUGUAGUGACAUUGGCUCUGUCCUGAGAGUCUCAGAUAAUCUUCCAAUCUCAAGAUCCUUAAUUUAAUCACAUCUGCAAAGUCCCUUUGGUGAGGUAACAUAUUCACAAGUUCCUAGGAUUGAGAUGAAGAUAAUUUUGUGAGGAGAAGCAUUAUUCAGCAUGUUACAGCAUAUAAAGAAAUGCAUAAAGAAAAAAGUUGUCAAGGUGAUACACAACUGAAUAAAUGAUGUUUAGGAAGUCUUAUUUUAGUCAUUUAUUACUGGGCAGCAAAUUGCUCCAAAACUUAGUGGCCAAAAGAGCACGCCCUUGUUAGCUCACAGUUGCUAUGGGUCAGGAGAGGGUAGCAGCCCAGCUGGGGUCUCCGUCUCAGGGUCUCUCUCUAGGCUGCACUCAAGGUGUCAGCUGAGCCACGUCCCGAGGUUCACCAGGGACCGAGCUCCUUUUCCAAGUUGACUUCUGGCCGUGGGUAGGAUUCAGUUCCCACAGUUGAACUGAGCUCUUGUUCCUUAUUGGCUGCUGGUGGAGGCUCCUCCCUGUCACGUGGUCCUCUCCGUGGGGCAGUGUGCAGCUGCUUCAUCAGGUGAUGGAGGGAAAGAGGGUGAGGGCGAGAGCAGGGUGGAGGCACCAUCUUGUAUAACCUAGUCCCGGGAGCAGCAUCCCCUCACUUUUGCCACAUUCUCUUCAUUAGAAGUGAGUCCCUAGGUCCAGCCUAUACUUAGGGGAAGGCAAUUACAGCAGGGCAUGGAGUGGUGGUGGUGUGUGUGUGGGGGGGUCAUUUCGAAAUCUGCCUCGGACACUCAUCUUAGUCGAUAAGUUUUCUGUUACCUGACAUGCAGUUCAGCCCUUUAGCAGAAACGUGUCUGCUCAAUAGAUCUGCUUUCCUCCAGGAUUCGGGGCGUCCCAACCCUCUGCUGCCAAUGUCCCACUGUGAAAACUAGUCUUCUUGCUUUCUCUUGGGGUCACUACCCCCGUCCUUGUGUGCCUACUCUGUUUUCAGAUGUCCUCUUUGUGUUCCUGCUAGAUUCUUAAAUUAUUAUUUUAAAAUUUUUAUGUAAGUUUAUUUUAAAAUUUGAGAAUAAUUUAAUUUAAAAACAUAUUAUUUUUACAUUUAUAUAAUGUUAUACAUUGUUUAGGAAACUUCAGGACAAGAAAAACAAAACAUAGAUAUAUUUGCUUUAAUUAAAUUAAACCCAGAUCUGAGCUCCUGCUCUUUAGAGUACUAGGAAAUUCAAUUCCAGAAAUUUUGAGAGCAGGAAUAGAGCUUUUCCACUUCCAGUUAAUGAAUCAGAUUAUUAAUUAUCUAUGUAUUUCUCCUUAUUUUGUUUUUCUCUCCUUCAACCUCCUGAACUCCCUUUCUUAACAGUUUUCAGGUUUCAUUCUGAUUAAUCAAGGGUUUUUUAAGAAAUGCUGGUUUUACAACUGGUUAAUUUAUAUUCCGAUUUGUGUGGAAUCUAAAGUAGUCAGAGGAGCCUGGCUCUUUUAUGAAACCAGAUGGUGAAAAGGACUGGAGGAUGUUCCUUACAAAGUGUAAGGGUCAGUUAAUUUCUCUCUGUGUGUAUUAUGAUGCACUGGAGAUAACCCUUAUGAAUUUAAUUUGGUGACCUUUUGCAGCUGUCAGGCCUCAAUAAUUUCUACCUGUUUUGAUAUUCCCCCAAACUGCUGAGGACAUUACAACAUAAAAGGAGCUGGUGAAUAUGCAUAAAUCUAUGGGGAUCUUGAGCAGUAGUUUAUGUGGGCGGAGGGGUACAGAAGAAAGGU